rnacentral:rRNA from 1 species
UACGGAGGGUGCGAGCGUUAUCCGGAAUUACUGGGUUUAAAGGGUGCGUAGGCGGCGCAGUAAGUCAGGAGUGAAAGUUUGCGGCUCAACCGUAAAAUUGCCUUUGAUACUGCUGUGCUAGAAUUAGGAUGAGGUCAGCGGAAUGUGGCAUGUAGCGGUGAAAUGCAUAGAUAUGCCAUAGAACACCAAUUGCGAAGGCAGCUGGCUAGACCUGGAUUGACGCUGAGGCACGAAAGCGUGGGGAGCGAACAGG